UUAUAUUAUUUUUAGUUCUGUUCUGAUUAAGUACGGGUGGAACGGGCUCUUUAAUAUUUUUUGAUCAUCGUCAGGAUGAACGCUGGCGGUAUGCUUAACACAUGCAAGUGGAACGGUGUCAUGCGACACAGUGGCGGACGGGUGAGUAACGCGUGAGAAUCUACCUUCAGGUCGGGGAUAACCCCUGGAAACGGGGGCUAAUACCGGAUAGGUCGAAAGAUGAAAGGUUAACUGCCUGAAGAGGAGCUCGCGUCUGAUUAGCUAGUAGGUGUGGUAAGAGCGCACCUAGGCGACGAUCAGUAGCUGGUCUGAGAGGAUGAGCAGCCACACUGGGACUGAGACACGGCCCAGACUCCUACGGGAGGCAGCAGUGGGGAAUUUUCCGCAAUGGGCGAAAAGCCUGACGGAGCAGGACGCGCGUGGGGGAGGAAGGCCUUUGGGUUGUAAACCCCUUUUUUUAUCGAAGAAAAGAAUGACGGUACCUCGCGAAUAAAGCCUCCGCUAAAAUCCGUCCCCCCAGCCGCGGUAAUAACGGAGGGGGGCAAGCGUUUUUUUUGAAUUAUUGGGGGUAAAGAGUGCGUAGGUGGCCCGGCAAGUCUGCUGUCAAAGACCCCAGCUCAACUCCGGAAAGGCAGUGGAAACUGCAAGGCUAGAGUGCGGUAGGGGUAGAGGGAAUUCCCGGUGUAGCGGUGAAAUGCGUAGAGAUCGGGAAGAACACCGGUGGGGAAAGCGCUCUACUGGGCCGCAACUGACACUGAGGGACGAAAGCUAGGGGAGCGAACAGGAUUAGAUACCCCGGUAGUCCCCGCCCUAAACGAUGGAAACUAGGUGUAGCAGGUAUCGACCCUCAGUAUCGAAGCUAACGCGUAAGUUACCGCUGGAGACCGACGG
rnacentral:rRNA from 1 species